AACUCGUUCGUAUUCAGCCAACGGUUCUGGGUUCGGUYUUGUUGUGUUUCAGUUUUGUGCACGCAGGAUCGAGCGCCURGGUUCCAAGGUGCAUUUGCGGACGAUUGCGCCGAGACUUGUGGGGCAGCGGUAGGACCCGGUUCAUGAGGCCUCCUUUUGGUUGUACCCUGAACUGGUAUACGACUGUUUGCUCUGCUCGUAAUGUUGGUUCGGCCUCGGGUGAAACUGCCGUUGGCGUUCUCUUGUGGUGGCAACAGCACGCUUUGCCUAACUUGGGGAUUCCGGCUGCGGUGGAGCUCUCGAACUGUCUCUCGGUGUAAAAGCUGGUCAUCUAUCCGACCCGUCUUGAAACACGGACCAAGGAGUUUAGCGUAUGUGCGAGCCACUGGGUAUUGCAAAACCUAUGGGCACAAUGAAAGUGAAGGCUCGGUCGCCGAGCUUACAUGCGACCGUGCUAGCUUCGGCUGGUGCGGGCAGCAUGGUCCCGUUUCAGUCGCUUGCGACGGAGCGGAGACAG
rnacentral:rRNA from 1 species